rnacentral:rRNA from 1 species
UGGGGAAUAUUGCACAAUGGGGGAAACCCUGAUGCAGCGACGCCGCGUGGGUGAAGGAGUAUUUCGGUAUGUAAAGCCCUAUCAGCAGGGAAGAUAAUGACGGUACCUGACUAAGAAGCCCCGGCUAACUACGUGCCAGCAGCCGCGGUAAUACGUAGGGGGCAAGCGUUAUCCGGAUUUACUGGGUGUAAAGGGAGCGUAGACGGCAGCGCAAGCCUGGAGUGAAAGGAUGGGGCCCAACCCCAUGACUGCUCUGGGAACUGUGCGGCUAGAGUGCCGGAGGGGUAAGCGGAAUUCCUAGUG